GGUAUAAUGUAGGCCGCUAUUGAGGGUCAACUUGGAAAAUUACAGAGUCAAUUCCCUGCGGAAGAUCUAGGAGGAGCUGUUUGUUGGGCUGGAGGAACUGCCCUGUGGCGGCUCUUUGAGAGGUUAAGCUGGAGAUUGUCAUUGCCCAAGGUGAACUGGCUUUCAGUGGUAACUGGGUGGAAACUAGAAAGACGAGUUCAGGAUGAGCUCUGCGGCUUGGGCUUGUGCUGUGGUUGAGCUGGUAAACCCAUGAGGUGAGCAGAUCCAAACCCCUGACA